GACGAACGCUGGCGGCGUGCCUAACACAUGCAAGUCGAACGAAGCAUAGCAAUAUGCUUAGUGGCGGACGGGUGAGUAACGCGUGAACAAUCUGCCCUGUACAAAGGAAUAGCCUCGGGAAACCGGGAUUAAAACCGUAUGACACUUUAGUAUCGCAUGAUAAAGAAAGUCAAAUCGAUUAGAGGUAUGGGAUGAGUUCGCGUCUGAUUAGCUGGUUGGCGGGGUAACGCCCACCAAGGCGACGAUCAGUAGCCGGCCUGAGAGGGUGAACGGCCACACUGGAACUGAGACACGGUCCAGACUCCUACGGGAGGCAGCAGUGGGGAAUAUUGCACAAUGGAGGGAACUCUGAUGCAGCGACGCCGCGUGAGUGAAGAAGGUCUUCGGAUCGUAAAACUCUGUCCUUGGUGAAGAAAAGGACGGUAGCCAAGGAGGAAGCCCCGGCUAACUACGUG
rnacentral:rRNA from 1 species